UUUGGUUAAGUUAGAAAGGGCGCACGGUGGAUGCCUUGACACUAGGAGUCGAUGAAGGACGGACUAACGCCGAUAUGCUUCGGGGAGCUGUAAGUAAGCUUUGAUCCGAAGAUUUCCGAAUGGGGAAACCCACCAUACGUAAUGGUAUGGUAUCCUUAUCUGAAUACAUAGGGUAAGGAAGACAGACCCAGGGAACUGAAACAUCUAAGUACCUGGAGGAAGAGAAAGCAAAUGCGAUUUCCUGAGUAGCGACGAGCGAAACGGAACAUAGCCCAAACCAAGAGGCUUGCCUCUUGGGGUUGUAGGACAUUCUAUACGGAGUUACAAAGGAACGAGGUAGACGAAGCGACCUGGAAAGGUCCGUCGUAGAGGGUAACAACCCCGUAGUCGAAACUUCGUUCUCUUGAAUGUAUCCUGAGUACGGCGGAACACGUGAAAUUCCGUCGGAAUCUGGGAGGACCAUCUCCCAAGGCUAAAUACUCCCUAGUGAUCGAUAGUGAACCAGUACCGUGAGGGAAAGGUGAAAAGCACCCCGGAAGGGGAGUGAAAGAGAUCCUGAAACCGUGUGCCUACAAAUAGUCAGAGCCCGUUAACGGGUGAUGGCGUGCCUUUGUAGAAUGAACCGGCGAGUUACGAUCCCGUGCGAGGUUAAGCUGAAGAGGCGGAGCCGCAGCGAAAGCGAGUCUGAAUAGGGCGUUUAGUACGUGGUCGUAGACCCGAAACCAGGUGAUCUACCCAUGUCCAGGGUGAAGUUCAGGUAACACUGAAUGGAGGCCCGAACCCACGCACGUUGAAAAGUGCGGGGAUGAGGUGUGGGUAGCGGAGAAAUUCCAAUCGAACCUGGAGAUAGCUGGUUCUCCCCGAAAUAGCUUUAGGGCUAGCCUUAAGUGUAAGAGUCUUGGAGGUAGAGCACUGAUUGGACUAGGGGUCCUCAUCGGAUUACCGAAUUCAGUCAAACUCCGAAUGCCAAUGACUUAUCCUUAGGAGUCAGACUGCGAGUGAUAAGAUCCGUAGUCAAAAGGGAAACAGCCCAGACCGCCAGCUAAGGUCCCAAAGUGUGUAUUAAGUGGAAAAGGAUGUGGAGUUGCUUAGACAACUAGGAUGUUGGCUUAGAAGCAGCCACCAUUUAAAGAGUGCGUAAUAGCUCACUAGUCGAGUGACUCUGCGCCGAAAAUGUACCGGGGCUAAAUACACCACCGAAGCUGCGGAUUGAUACCAAUGGUAUCAGUGGUAGGGGAGCGUUCUAAGGACAGUGAAGUCAGACCGGAAGGACUGGUGGAGUGCUUAGAAGUGAGAAUGCCGGUAUGAGUAGCGAAAGACGGGUGAGAAUCCCGUCCACCGAAUGCCUAAGGUUUCUGAGGAAGGCUCGUCCGCUCAGGGUUAGUCAGGACCUAAGCCGAGGCCGACAGGCGUAGGCGAUGGACAACAGGUUGAUAUUCCUGUACCACCUCUUUAUCGUUUGAGCAAUGGAGGGACGCAGAAGGAUAGAAGAAGCGUGCGAUUGGUUGUGCACGUCCAAGCAGUUAGGCUGAUAAGUAGGCAAAUCCGCUUAUCGUAAAGGCUGAGCUGUGAUGGGGAAGCUCCUUAUGGAGCGAAGUCUUUGAUUCCCCGCUGCCAAGAAAAGCUUCUAGCGAGAUAAAAGGUGCCUGUACCGCAAACCGACACAGGUAGGCGAGGAGAGAAUCCUAAGGUGUGCGAGAGAACUCUGGUUAAGGAACUCGGCAAAAUGACCCCGUAACUUCGGGAGAAGGGGUGCUUUCUUAACGGAAAGCCGCAGUGAAUAGGCCCAAGCGACUGUUUAGCAAAACACAGCUUCUGCGAAGCCGUAAGGCGAAGUAUAGGGGGUGACACCUGCCCGGUGCUGGAAGGUUAAGGAGAGGGGUUAGCGUAAGCGAAGCUCUGAACUGAAGCCCCAGUAAACGGCGGCCGUAACUAUAACGGUCCUAAGGUAGCGAAAUUCCUUGUCGGGUAAGUUCCGACCCGCACGAAAGGUGUAACGAUUUGGGCACUGUCUCAACCAGAGACUCGGUGAAAUUAUAGUACCUGUGAAGAUGCAGGUUACCCGCGACAGGACGGAAAGACCCCGUGGAGCUUUACUGUAGCCUGAUAUUGAAUUUUGGUACAGUUUGUACAGGAUAGGCGGGAGCCAUUGAAACCGGAGCGCUAGCUUCGGUGGAGGCGCUGGUGGGAUACCGCCCUGACUGUAUUGAAAUUCUAACCUACGGGUCUUAUCGACCCGGGAGACAGUGUCAGGUGGGCAGUUUGACUGGGGCGGUCGCCUCCUAAAGUGUAACGGAGGCGCCCAAAGGUUCCCUCAGAAUGGUUGGAAAUCAUUCGUAGAGUGCAAAGGCAUAAGGGAGCUUGACUGCGAGACCUACAAGUCGAGCAGGGACGAAAGUCGGGCUUAGUGAUCCGGUGGUUCCGCAUGGAAGGGCCAUCGCUCAACGGAUAAAAGCUACCCCGGGGAUAACAGGCUUAUCUCCCCCAAGAGUCCACAUCGACGGGGAGGUUUGGCACCUCGAUGUCGGCUCAUCGCAUCCUGGGGCUGUAGUCGGUCCCAAGGGUUGGGCUGUUCGCCCAUUAAAGCGGUACGCGAGCUGGGUUCAGAACGUCGUGAGACAGUUCGGUCCCUAUCCGUCGUGGGCGUAGGAAAUUUGAGAGGAGCUGUCCUUAGUACGAGAGGACCGGGAUGGACGCACCGCUGGUGUACCAGUUGUUCUGCCAAGGGCAUAGCUGGGUAGCUAUGUGCGGAAGGGAUAAGUGCUGAAAGCAUCUAAGCAUGAAGCCCCUCAAGAUGAGAUUUCCCAUAGCGUAAGCUAGUAAGAUCCCUGAAAGAUGAUCAGGUUGAUAGGUUCGAGGUGGAAGCAUGGUGACAUGUGGAGCUGACGAAUACUAAUAGAUCGAGGACUUAACCAUAUAA
rnacentral:rRNA from 1 species